CCCAAAGCCAGCCCAGCUAGAAACCAAGGUCUGAACUCUUAACUAAAUGCCCUGAACCACCACUGUGGUGGACCCAAGAAACCAGCAGCAAAAGGUAUGUGGGGGUGAAAAUCCCCUCUAGCUGACAGGUUGCCUCUGGUAACAUGCCAUUUUAUAGAUGAGCUAGCAGGGGCUUUGCUUUGGGGACUUGCCCAAGGCCUCACUGCUAAAGCGUGGGGUCCCUACAAAAAGAGAAAAUCUUAGCAUAUCAGAACUGGAAGGGGUCUCACAGCUCUUCUAGUCCAAGGCUAACUGUGACAGGAAAACUGUGGCCCAAAGAGGGCUGGGGCUGGCCCCCCACUGCAGCUCUUGCUCCCUCACCUUGGAUCACCUCUAACCUGUGAGCUUCAUGGAGCGUCUGAGAAGAAAUGGAAGGGUUUAUUGUAUACUGCCUCUGGCUCAGGUCCUGGAACAUUCCAGAAAGGACGGCAGAAUGAAAGAGAGAGCAGGUAGCCCCUGAGUGCCUGCUUGGUGCCAGACUCUGUGCCAGUUCUGGGGCGUGGUGGUGAAGGUGAUGGAGCCCCUGCCCUUGGGA